rnacentral:lncRNA from 1 species
UUGACAUUUACCUAGGCACAGCUCACAGGCAUGAUAAUGACUCUCAUAUGUGGACCCCACAAGUAGGAGUAAUUUUGACUCUUGUAACUUGCUUUAGAAACAUAAGUGAUGUCUUAGAUCUCUUUCUGGCGAAAAGGUCACAGAAGAUUAUAACAGCCUCAGAUAAUUUGCAGCCCUUGGCUUGUACAGAGAGUGUCAGAACAGAACCCAGCAGAAAGGAGAAAUUGUGAGUCUCAUAUGUACACCCAGCUGACUGUAAGGACUGUCACCAUCUUACAUACAUGAAGCCAACUGUCACACAUGAAAAGAGGACAUGUGUGGUAUUGUAAAUCUCAUCUCGAAUAUUCUCUCAGUGUGACUGUGAUAUAAAUCUUUGCCAAGCAUCUGUGUGAUUUGACUCUCCAAACUGGUUCCAGCCCAUAUAUACGGGAUUGUGAUCUCUACCUGGGCCAACCUCUAGAUAAUGUGACUCUCCUGCCUGGGCCCUUCUCUCAGUAAGGGUUGUGACAUAUCACUGGAUCUAACACCCAAGUGAUGUUACAUUCUUGCCUGGACCAUGCACAGAGACAUCAUUGUGACAUAUCACUGUGUCCACCACUUAGGUGAUGUAACUCUCCUCUCUGGAAUGGACCCUGAAUACGGAGUGGUAGUGACAUCUUCCUAGGCCAGACACACAGGUGUUGGUACUCUUUUUCCAGGGCUAUGUUUCAAGGAGGGCAUUGUGACAUAUCUCUGGACCUAUCACCGAGGUGAUAUGAUUCAACGCUUGGGCCUCACCGACGUAGAACAUUGUGACAUAAAAGUUAAACCUGCACCAAAGGUGUUGUAACUCUUUCACCUUGGUCCUGUCCUAAGGGAGCCCUGCAACAUAUCUCAGGACCCAGCACUCAGGAACAUUGUGACAUCGUUGGACAUAGCAUCUAGGAAAUGUGACUCUUCUCUCCUGCCUAGGUCCUGCCCACUAAAGGAAUUGUGACAUACCACUGAGUGCAAAACCUAGCCCUGUCUACAGUGGACAUGGUACCACAUGACUUGAGGCUGUAUCCAGGUGAUGUGACUCUUCUGACUUGGCCCUGCCUGCAAAGGAAAUUAUAAUAUAUCCUGAGCUCAGAAUCCAGGCGAUGAGACUCUCCUGCCUCUUUUCUGCCCACAAGUGAAAUUGUGACUUAUACCUGCGUUCAGCUCACAUGCACAAAUAUAACUAUUAUACCUGGACCCAGAAAGGAGAGAUAUUUGGACUCUUAUAGCCAGUCCUAUGGCCAUAAGUAAAGUAAAGGGUCCCCUGUUUGUAUAAAGCUCACAGAGGAUUAUGACACUCAGGCACAUCAUAUAAAGCCUGAGUGGUACAAAGAGUGUCAUAGCAGGGAACAGCAACCAGGUGCGAUUGUGACUCUUGGAUGCUCACCCAGCUGACCCGAUUGUCAUUCUCUCACAAGAACAGGGCCUACAUACAAGGCCAUGACCAUAGAUGAAAUUUUGACAUACGUGGACCAUACACCUAAGCGAAGGUGCCUGGGCCUGCCUACAAAGGGCACUUUUACGUAUUACUAGGACCAGCACGCAGUUUUUCCAUAAAUUCUUCCCUGAGCCUUGAAGUGAGCCUCUGGUGGUCCAGUGAUCAUUACCAUCCUCACUUUAGCAUCUGGUGCUUCUGCUGGAGCAAUGUUAAUUGAAGCUCCGGCAAAGCGAGAAAGCUGCUUGAUGUGCUUGGCCCUGCUUGCCGAUGAUGACACCGACUGAUAGAGCCUGGAUAAACAGAUGAACAGUCUCCGUUUCUGAUUGCUCAAACUGCGGCUUUGGCACAUGCCUCAACAUUGCCUUUAACUGUAAUGGUGCGUUCUGGAUUAUACAGCGUCAAUUCCUGAAAGCACCUUGAUGGCCUUGAGGGCCCAGCUCUCCUCUGGGCAGUCCAUGAACGCAUAGCCAGUCUUCACCAGGAAGGAUCCCAACACUGGGAUCUUGGCGUCCUUGAAGAUACUUUCUAGGUCCAAGGGGACGGCGUUCUCGUGGAGGUUUCCGAUAUACAGUUUGUUCAUUGUGAAGAAUGGUUGUUUAAAAAAAUUAACGAGAAGAACGAGAAAUUAAAACCACCCAUGGUGAUGGAUGGAUCCAGCUGGUUUUGUUGCUCUCAUCUUCUCACCUUUAAAAUACACAAACACAGAAAGAACCAAGCACAAGAACAAGGAGUGAAAAAUCAGAUCCGAGGCUUGUUUUUCCUUGUCCUAGAUAUGUUUUAAAAGAGAAAGAAAAGAAAAAGCCUAGCUACAACCCAAAUGCAUCAACCAGUCUUCCUAAGUCUCGCUUUUGAAUAAUUUUCAAAUGAGAUGUACACCUAAAUUUUAAGAGUGUUUGAGUUUGUGUUUGCUUUAGUGGUGCUUUAUAUCUGUCUGAUUGUAAGCAUAAUGUUCAUGGAAAGAGACUUUUGGUAGGAAUCAAACUGGGACUCUUACAAUGGCUUAAGUCCAUCAGAAUAGUUCUGAUGCUACUUAGGAGCAUCAGAACUCCUUUCUUUGCCUGAUUUUUCAACUUAUUUCUUAAUUGGAACCCCAUAAAGAACAUGAAUGGUCUUCUGAUAUCCUUAAUGUCUUAGAGUUAUAUCAAUAUUUUGCU